rnacentral:rRNA from 1 species
UACGUAGGUGGCAAGCGUUGUCCGGAUUUAUUGGGCGUAAAGAGUGUGUAGGCGGCUUUACAGGUCCGUUGUGAAAACUCGAGGCUCAACCUCGAGACGCCGGUGGAAACCGUAAAGCUAGAGUCCGGAAGAGGAGAGUGGAAUUCCUGGUGUAGCGGUGAAAUGCGCAGAUAUCAGGAGGAACACCCGUGGCGAAAGCGGCUCUCUGGGACGGUACUGACGCUGAGACGCGAAAGCGUGGGGAGCAAACAGG